rnacentral:rRNA from 1 species
AUUGAACGCUAGCGGGAUGCCUUACACAUGCAAGUCGAACGGAGUGGCGAACGGGUGAGUAAUGUAUCGGAACGUGCCCAGUAGCGGGGGAUCACUACGCGAAAGCGUAGAUAAUACCGCAUACUUUUGGAGCGGCCGUGAUCGGAUUAGCUAGUUGGUUGGGUAACGGCUCACCAAGACGACGAUCCGUAGCUGGUCUGAGAGGACGACCAGCCACACUGGGACUGAGACACGGCCCAGACUCCUACGGGAGGCAGCAGUGGGGAAUUUUGGACAAUGGGGGAAACCUUGAUCCAGCAAUCCCGCGUGUGCGAUGAAGGCCUUCGGGUUGUAAAGCACUUUUGGCAGGAAAGCGGUACCUGCAGAAUAAGCACCGGCUAACUCCGUGCCAGCAGCCGCGGUAAUUC